rnacentral:rRNA from 1 species
AAAGUUUGAUCCUGGCUCAGGACGAACGCUGGCGGCGUGCCUAACACAUGCAAGUCGAGCGGAGACAGUGAGUAGCUUGCUAUGAGCUGUUUUAGCGGCGGACGGGUGAGUAACGCGUGAGCAACCUUUCCCAGACAGGGGAAUAACACACCGAAAGGUGUACUAAUACCGCAUAAGACCACGGGAUCACAUGGUUCUGGGGUAAAAGAUUUAUCGGUUUGGGGUGGGCUCGCGUCCGAUUAGGUAGUUGGUGAGGUAACGGCCC